rnacentral:rRNA from 1 species
GGGAGCUUGCUCCCGGAUGUUAGCGGCGGACGGGUGAGUAACACGUGGGUAACCUGCCUGUAAGACUGGGAUAACUCCGGGAAACCGGAGCUAAUACCGGAUAGUUCCUUGAACCGCAUGGUUCAAGGAUGAAAGACGGUUUCGGCUGUCACUUACAGAUGGACCCGCGGCGCAUUAGCUAGUUGGUGGGGUAAUGGCUCACCAAGGCGACGAUGCGUAGCCGACCUGAGAGGGUGAUCGGCCACACUGGGACUGAGACACGGCCCAGACUCCUACGGGAGGCAGCAGUAGGGAAUCUUCCGCAAUGGACGAAAGUCUGACGGAGCAACGCCGCGUGAGUGAUGAAGGUUUUCGGAUCGUAAAGCUCUGUUGUUAGGGAAGAACAAGUGCGAGAGUAACUGCUCGCACCUUGACGGUACCUAACCAGAAAGCCACGGCUAACUACGUGCCAGCAGCCGCGGUAAUACGUAGGUGGCAAGCGUUGUCCGGAAUUAUUGGGCGUAAAGGGCUCGCAGGCGGUUUCUUAAGUCUGAUGUGAAAGCCCCCGGCUCAACCGGGGAGGGUCAUUGGAAACUGGGAAACUUGAGUGCAGAAGAG